UGCCCAGCUAAUUUUUGUAUUUUUAGUAGAGACGGGGUUUCACCAUCUUGGCCAGGCUGGUCUUGAACUCCUGACCUCAUGAUCCACCCGCCUAGGCCACCCAAAGUGCUGGGAUUACAGGUGUGAGCCUCUGCACUCGGCCGAUAGGCUCCAUUUUUAACCACUUACUCUUUUCAUUGUUCACUCCAGCAAUGCUGGAGUGUGGCGGGGGACUCCUGGAGGCCCCGAAAGAUCAUUUCAGGGAUUUGCAAGGUGAAAACUAUUUUCAUAAUAAUACUGACACUUUUUUGCCUUUCUAUUUCUCAUUCUUUCCUGAGUGUAUCGUGAAGUUUUCCAGAAGUUACAUGAAGAAUGAUAUUGAAUCAGAUUGAAUAGAAAAAACAAAAACUGAUUUCAGAAAUUGUCUCGUACCCAAGUGAGGAAACCUGAAAAAUUCUGAGAAUGGUUUAUCUUGAAAAUAACAAAUGGAAAGCAGCCCAAUCUCUAAAUCCUUCACUUAUCUUCAAAGAGAUUACUUUGUAAAAGGGAUAGAUGGCUGGCGAGUCAGCACUGAAAUUUUUCACAAUUGCAACCAUGUCACCAAAUCCUAUAUGGGACUGCAGGUCUCAGCAGCAUAUGACACAUUUAGCUACUUCUCUUAAUUUCUGUGACACAGAAAUGAAAAGUUUUCUUUCUCACUUCCUCUCCUCUGUUCCCUGAGAAACUACUGAAGGCACUGGUACGAUCAGCAGCCAAAGGGCAUUUGCUCCUGAAUACCCAGAUUUCCUGGCAUUUGGUGCCACAGGAGAGAGUGACAACAACUACAAAAGCUUCAAAGAACAGGACACUCUGGGGAGGAUGAUUAGACUAUUCCAGGAUCAAAAUGUAGAGUGACCUCUUCCCAUCUGUUUAAGCAACUUUGGAAGUCCUUGAAAUAUUUAAAGAGAAGAACUCUGGGAAAACAAUGGACCUUCCAAGAUGAAGGUAAUUCAGAGUAAUUUAUAACCUAAAAUAAAUAUAACCUUAUGGCAGUGAAGUGGGACAUAUCUAAUACAUAUAAACUUGGCAAGUAUGAGAGGAAAAUAAGAAAUUCAAUGCAAUUUUCCUUUUACUAGUCCCCUUUCAAAUUCCUUGUUCUACAAAGA
rnacentral:lncRNA from 10 species